rnacentral:rRNA from 1 species
GAUGAACGCUAGCGGCAGGCCUAACACAUGCAAGUCGAGGGAUAAGCCUUCGGGCUAAGACCGGCGCACGGGUGCGUAACGCGUAUACAAUCUGCCUUUUAUCCGGGGGAUAGCCCGAAGAAAUUUGGAUUAAUACCCUAUGGUAUAAGAGCACGGCAUCGUGCACUUAUUAAAGCUACGGCGGUAAAAGAUGAGUAUGCGUUCUAUUAGCUAGUUGGAGAGGUAACGGCUCCCCAAGGCGACGAUAGAUAGGGGUUCUGAGAGGGAUGUCCCCCACACUGGUACUGAGAUACGGACCAGACUCCGACGGGAGGCAGCAGUGAGGAAUAUUGGACAAUGGUCGGAAGACUGAUCCAGCCAUGCCGCGUGCAGGAUGACGGCCUUAUGGGUUGUAAACUGCUUUUGUAAGGGAAGAAUAAGGAGUACGUGUACUUUGAUGACGGUACCUUACGAAUAAGCAUCGGCUAACUCCGU